rnacentral:lncRNA from 1 species
CAUUAAACCUAAUUUCCAUAGCGCAAAAUCAAAAAAUCUCCCUAAGCUAGUCGCAUGCCAUCCUCUGCCAAUGGCAGAACUGGCUAGAAAAUUCUCCAAAUCCGGUAACGAGUUAAUGGUUCACUCCCCAUAUGGUCCCCUUCUCUCUCCCUCUUCCACAUCAUCACACCCUAACGAACUCCUGACAUAUUUACUCUCCCUCACGUGCUUUCCAUCCAUUAAGACGAGUUUUGGAUAAAUGGGAGCGGUUGGAUUAGGUUAAAAUCGAAUCCACGACUUCCAUUAAUCCGGGAUUUGUUUACAAAGAAAAUGGAGAAUAAAAAACGAGUUUUUGGCAGAUUUCUUGGAGAACAAGAGGAAGUUUCUAGGUGGUCUAUGUAAGGGAGCAUUUACAAUGAAAAAUGGGGAUUUUCGAUGUAGAAAUAUGGAGAAAAAAAAGAACAAUUAAGGUUUAAUAAUUCUUGAAGUAUUUUUCAGUUUAUGUCUUUUGAAAUUCCAGCAAAAAAAAUAUAGAUAUCUCUUUUACUUCUUCUAUUUUUUUCUUUUGAAUCCUGAUUUUGAUUUAAAAAAUGGAGUUUGAAUGAACUUUCUGUCUGAGUGCGAGUCCGCCUGAGAUUUGCGGUGCCGAUCGAGGUCCUUUCGUGAUUGUUAGUUCCUAUUUCUUGGCGGUUGUUUGUCGUGGAUUUUCACUGCCGCAUUUAAUUGUAUUUGAUUGCGAGCAGAAUUAAUUAAAGGCGGAUUCGGAUUCAUUUCUUCCUUCUACUUUUAUGUGUAUUGUGAAUCAAAGCCAUAGAUGGAGCCAUUUAAGAUUGGCUAUCAGUAGUAGCUUCGGUUUUAACUGAUUUUAUCUUUUUUGAUUUCCGGCUGUUGGUUAUUGUAACCCCAUGAGUUUUCUUUUGGCGAG